CCUACGGGUGGCAGCAGUAGGGAAUCUUCCACAAUGGGCGAAAGCCUGAUGCAGCAACGCCGCGUGGGUGAAGAAGGUCUUCGGAUCGUAAAACCCUGUUGUUAGAGAAGAAAGUGCGUUAGAGUAACCGUUCACGUUUCGACGGUAUCUAACCAGAAAGCCACGGCUAACUACGUGCCAGCAGCCGCGGUAAUACGUAGGGGGCAAGCGUUAUCCGGAUUUAUUGGGCGUAAAGGGAACGCGGGCGGUCUUUUAAGUCUGAUGUGAAAGCCUUCGGCUUAACCGGAGUAGUGCAUUGGAAACUGGGAGACUUGAGUGCAGAAGAGGAGAGUGGAACUCCAUGUGUAGCGGUGAAAUGCGUAGAUAGAUGGAAGAACACCAGUGGCGAAGGCGGCUCUCUGGUCUGUAACUGACGCUGAGGUUCGAAAGCGUGGGUAGCAAACAGGAUUAGAUACCCGGGUAGUC
rnacentral:rRNA from 1 species